rnacentral:rRNA from 1 species
GACGAACGCUGGAGGCGUGCUUAACACAUGCAAGUCGAACGAUGAAAUGGAGCUUGCUCCAUGGAUUAGUGGCGAACGGGUGAGUAACACGUGAAUAACCUGCCCUUAAUUUUGGAAUAACCCAGGGAAACCUGGGCUAAUACCGGAUAAGUAAACCUGUGGCAUCACAUGGUUUUGGAAAGUUUUUCGAUUAAGGAUGGAUUCGCGGCCUAUCAGCUUGUUGGUGAGGUAAUGGCUCACCAAGGCGACGACGGGUAGCCGGCCUGAGAGGGUGAACGGCCAGACAGGGACUGAGACACGGCCCAGACUCCGACGGGAGGCAGCAGUGGGGAAUAUUGCGCAAGGGACGAAAGUCUGACGCAGCGACGCCUCGUGAGGGACGAAGGUCUUCGGAUUGUAAACCUCUUUCAGCAGGGACGAAGCGAAAGUGACGGUACCUGCAGAAGAAGCACCGGCUAACUAUGUGCCAGCCGCCGCCGUAA